GUGGCAGCCGCCGCGGUAAUACGAAGGGCCCAAGCGUUAAUCGGAAUCACUGGGCUUAAAGGGUGCGCAGGCGGACAGGUCAGUGUCCUGUGAAAUCCCACGGCUCAACCGUGGAAUUGCUCGGCAUACUACCUGUCUUGAGCCCGGCAGGGGCCGUCGGAACUCUAGGUGAAGCGGUGAAAUGCGUAGAUAUCUAGAGGAACGCCAAAGGUGAAGACAGACGGCUGGGCCGGCGCUGACGCUCAGGCACGAAAGCGUGGGGAGCGAACGGGAUUAGAUACCCCGGUAGUCCACGCCGUAAACGAUGUGCACCAGAUCGAGGAGGUUUUGACGCCAUCUCGGUCGAAGUUAAAACAUUAAGUGCACCGCCUGGGGAGUACGGUCGCAAGGCUAAAACUCAAAGGAAUUGACGGGAGCUCACACAAGCGGUGGAGCAUGUGGCUUAAUUCGAAGCAACGCGAAGAACCUUAUCCAGGGUUUGACAUGCAGAGUUCAUCCGGUGAAAGCCGGUGUCCUUCGGGAGAUCUGCACAGGUGCUGCAUGGCUGUCGUCAGCUCGUGCUGUGAAGUGUCGCGUUAAGUCGCUUAACGAGCGAAACCCCUGUCGUUAGUUGCCAGCGAGUCAAGUCGGGGACUCUAACGAGACUGCCGGUGUCAAACCGGAGGAAGGUGGGGAUGACGUCAAGUCCUCAUGGCCUUUAUGCCCUGGGCUGCACACGUGCUACAAUGCGGCGGACAGAGCGACGCAAUACCGCAGGGUGGAGCAAAUCGCAAAAACCGUCGCCCAGUUCGGAUUGUGGUCUGCAACUCGACCACAUGAAGUUGGAAUCGCUAGUAAUCGCGUAUCAGCUACGACGCGGUGAAUACGUUCCUGAGC
rnacentral:rRNA from 1 species